GGCCAUGAUGAGCAUUGCUUACUUCUGACACCUCUUGUAUGAGAAAGAAGUUGCCCUGUUGUCCCUUCCAUGAGCAGAUUAUGUAAACUAUGCU
rnacentral:snoRNA from 2 species